GUCAAGUCUGGGGUCAAAGGCCACAGCUCAACUGUGGGAAGGCCCUGGAAACUGACCGGCUAGAGUAGGUAGGGGUUGCGGGAAUUCCCGGUGUAGCGGUGAAAUGCGUAGAGAUCGGGAAGAACACCUGAGGCGGAAGCGCGCAACUGGGCCUCAACUGACGCUGAGGUACGAAAGCUAGGGGAGCGAAUGGGAUUAGAUACCCUGGUAGUCCACGCCCUAAACGAUGGAUGCUAGAUGUUGGACUUCGGUUCAGUGUCGCAGCUAACGCAGUAAGCAUCCCACCUGGGAAGUACGACCGCAAGGUUGAAACUCAAAGGAAUUGACGGGGGCCCGCACAAGCGGUGGAGUAUGUGGAUUAAUUCGAUGCAACGCGAAGAACCUUACCUAGGCUUGACAUGCUGGGUAAAGCGGAUGAAAGUCCGUGUCCGAAAGGGAUCCAGCACAGGUGCUGCAUGGCUGUCGUCAGCUCGUGUCGUGAGAUGUUGGGUUAAGUCCCGCAACGAGCGCAACCCCUAUUGUUAGUUGCUACCAGGUCACGCUGAGCACUCUAGCAAGACUGCCUACGCAAGUAGGAGGAAGGAGGGGAUGACGUCAAGUCCUCAUGGCCCUUACGCCUAGGGCCUCACACGUACUACAAUGGGCGCCACAAUGGGCGAAGUCGCAAGACGGAGGGAAUCCCAAAAAAGCGCUCUCAGUUCAGAUCGGGGUCUGCAAC
rnacentral:rRNA from 1 species